rnacentral:tRNA from 1 species
GAGGGUAUAGCUUGGUGGUAAAGUGCAUGCCAAGCAUGCAAAAAAGGUCCUGGGUUCAAUUCCCAGUACCUCUG